AAGUAGGUCGGGACACGUGUUAUCUUGACUGAAGAUAGGGGGACCAUCCUCUAAGGCUAAAUACUACCAACUGACCGAUAGUGAACCAGUACCGUGAGGGAAAGGCGAAAAGAACCCCUGUGAGGGGAGUGAAAUAGAACCUGAAACCGGAUGCGUACAAGCAGUCAGAGCCCGCAAGGGUGAUGGCGUACCUUUUGUAUAAUGGGUCAGCGACUUAUUUUCAGUGGCGAGCUUAACCGAAUAGGGGAGGCGUAGCGAAAGCGAGUCUUAAUAGGGCGUCUAGUCGCUGGGAAUAGACCCGAAACCGGGCGAUCUAUCCAUGGGCAGGUUGAAGGUUGGGUAACACUAACUGGAGGACCGAACCGACUACCUUUGAAAAGUUAGCGGAUGACCUGUGGAUCGGAGUGAAAGGCUAAUCAAGCUCGGAGAUAGCUGGUUCUCCUCGAAAGCUAUUUAGGUAGCGCCUCAUGUAUCACUCCAGGGGGUAGAGCACUGUU
rnacentral:rRNA from 1 species